rnacentral:rRNA from 1 species
CCCAAAAGACUGGCGACCAGCGCACGGGUGAGUAACACGUAUCCAACCUGCCUCAUACUCGGGGAUAGCCUUUCGAAAGAAAGAUUAAUAUCCGAUAGCAUAUAUUUCCCGCAUGGGUUUUAUAUUAAAGAAAUUCGGUAUGAGAUGGGGAUGCGUUCCAUUAGUUUGUUGGGGGGGUAACGGCCCACCAAGACUACGAUGGAUAGGGGUUCUGAGAGGAAGGUCCCCCACAUUGGAACUGAGACACGGUCCAA